UACGAAGGGGGCUAGCGUUGGUCGGAAUCACUGGGCGUAAAGCGCACGUAGGCGGCUUUUUAAGUCAGGGGUGAAAUCCUGGAGCUCAACUCCAGAACUGCCUUUGAUACUGAGAAGCUUGAGUCCGGGAGAGGUUAGUGGAACUGCUAGUGUAGAGGUGAAAUUCGUAGAUAUUCGCAAGAACACCAGUGGCGAAGGCGGCUCACUGGCCCGGUACUGACGCUGAGGCACGAAAGCGUGGGGAGCAAACAGG
rnacentral:rRNA from 1 species